GUUAGGAAUAUUGGACAAUGGACGCAAGUCUGAUCCAGCCAUGCCGCGUGAGUGAUGAAGGCCUUAGGGUUGUAAAGCUCUUUCAGUGGGGACGAUAAUGACGGUACCCACAGAAGAAGCCCCGGCUAACUUCGUGCCAGCAGCCGCGGUAAUACGAAGGGGGCUAGCGUUGUUCGGAUUUACUGGGCGUAAAGCGCACGUAGGCGGAUCGUUAAGUCGGGGGUGAAAUCCUGGAGCUCAACUCCAGAACUGCCUUCGAUACUGGCGAUCUUGAGUCCGGAAGAGGUGAGUGGAACUCCUAGUGUAGAGGUGGAAUUCGUAGAUAUUAGGAAGAACACCAGUGGCGAAGGCGGCUCACUGGUCCGGUACUGACGCUGAGGUGCGAAAGCGUGGGGAGCAAACAGGAUUAGAAACCCCUGUAGUCC
rnacentral:rRNA from 1 species